rnacentral:rRNA from 1 species
CCUACGGGAGGCAGCAGUGGGGAAUAUUGCACAAUGGGGGAAACCCUGAUGCAGCGACGCCGCGUGAGUGAAGAAGUCCCUCGGUACGUAAAGCCCCAUUAGCAGGGAAGAAAAUGCCGGUACCUGUCUAAGAAGCCCCGGCUAACCACGUGCCAGCAGCCGCGGAAAUACGGCGGGGGCAAGCGUUAACCGGGUUUACGGGGUGUAAAGGGGGCGUAGUCGGCAGCGCAAGUCUGGAGUGAAAUCCCAGGGCUUAACCAUGGAACUGCUUUGGAAACUGUGCGGCUAGAGUGCAGGAGAGGUAAGCGGAAUGCGUGGUGUAGCGGUGAAAUGCGUAGAUAUUAGGAGGAACACCAGUGGCGAAGGCAGCUUACUGGACUGUAACUGACGUUGAGGCUCGAAAGCGUGGGGAGCAAACAGGAUUAGAUACCCGGGUAGUC